CUGUUGUUCGUGUUGUGUGUGUGUGUGUGUGUGUUGUGUGGGGGUGGGGUGGGGGUGUGGGGGGUUGACAUUUUGUAGACAUUCAGAAAAGACAGGAUCCAGUUUCCAAACACCUGUUCAGGCUAUAGAGUGAUUGAGCAGCGUUAAAGAGAGCGACACAGAGUUGAGUCAAGUGUUUUUCAAGUAUUCCAUUGUCAGGAAGAGCCCCCACAUCUUUCUCUCCAUCUAAUGCUAUCUUAGCGUCUUGGCUGAGGCUUGUUGGCUUACAGUGAUGGAGA